AGAGUUUGAUCAUGGCUCAGAAUCAACGCUGGCGGCGUGCCUAACACAUGCAAGUCGAACGCGAAAGUCCCGCAAGGGGCAAGUAGAGUGGCAAACGGGUGAGUAACACGUGGGUGACCUGCCUUCGAGCGGGGGAUAACGUCCCGAAAGGGACGCUAAUACCGCAUAACAUCCUGCCUUUGAAGAGGUGGAGAUUAAAGCUGGGGAUCGCAAGACCCGGCACUUGAAGAGGGGCCCGCGUCUGAUUAGCUAGUUGGUGGGGUAAUGGCCUACCAAGGCAACGAUCAGUAUCCGGCCUGAGAGGGCGGACGGACACACUGGGACUGAGACACGGCCCAGACUCCUACGGGAGGCAGCAGUGGGGAAUUGUUCGCAAUGGGCGCAAGCCUGACGACGCAACGCCGCGUGGAGGAUGAAGAUCUUCGGGUCGUAAACUCCUGUCGAAUGGGACGAACGGGUUGCGGGGUAACAUCCCGCGACCGUGACGGUACCGUAAAGA
rnacentral:rRNA from 1 species